rnacentral:rRNA from 1 species
UACGAAGGGGGCUAGCGUUGCUCGGAAUUACUGGGCGUAAAGCGCGUGUAGGCGGUUCCGCAAGUCAGGUGUGAAAGCCCGGGGCUCAACCCUGGAAGUGCACUUGAUACUACGGAGCUUGAGUACUGAACAGGAGAGCGGAAUUCCACGUGUAGCGGUGAAAUGCGUAGAGAUGUGGAGGAACACCAGUGGCGAAGGCGGCUCUCUGGACUGUAACUGACGCUGAGGCGCGAAAGCGUGGGGAGCAAACAGG